GGAAGAACUCCUGACUGCAAGGAACCUCAUUUUGACAUCAAAAAUCAAGGUCAAGUCUAAGCUGCAAAUAUAGGUUCUAUGAGUCACCUUACCUCCUAGACUCUGGAGCAUUCCAGACUGAGUGCAUAACUGCAUACUAGUUGGAUGUGAGCACUACCUCUGCUCCUUAAAGAAACCUUGUACUAAUUGAGAAAACAAAGACCCCUGUACACUUGAAGCAAGACAGAAAGAAAAAAAAAAGGCUGAUCCCAGCUGCAGAAUGGGAUGUCUUAAGACAAUUCAUGCAGCUAAUGACAAAUGUAAAUUUUGGAGAGCUGUUUUCUGCAAGACAUUUCCAGAGACUAUCUACAAUUUACCUCAUCAGGCAAGAAUGGCAUCGGCAAUCAUCUUUAAAAUGGCAAUCACCAAAAUGGAUUCAGAGUGUCCACCUAUUUCCUGUGUGCAGCUGAGGGGCCUAAAAUGGCCUAGCUCAGGUCAGAUCCAGUGUUGAUUAAAACCGAAGGUGCUGCAAUGUCCUGCCUGCCGUCUGCUGUCCGUGGCAGUGUCGGUGCAGGACUUUUGCUUCAAAUGUGUAAGAUUACUUAUCCAAUACAUUGUGGGUGUCUCCAGGCUCUUUCUUCAGUCUCGCAGCUGGGAAGUUACAAGGUUUGCAGGCCUGCAGGGUGCAGCCAGA